rnacentral:rRNA from 1 species
UACGUAGGGAGCGAGCGUUGUCCGGAUUCAUUGGGCGUAAAGAGCUCGUAGGCGGCUUUGCAAGUCGGGUGUGAAAUCCCCAGGCUUAACCUGGGAACUGCAUUCGAGACUGCAUUGCUAGAGUAUGGGAGAGGGAAGUGGAAUUUCCGGUGUAGCGGUGAAAUGCGUAGAUAUCGGAAGGAACAUCAGUGGCGAAAGCGACUUCCUGGACCAAUACUGACGCUCAUGUGCGAAAAGCGUGGGGAGCAAACAGGG